UACGGAGGGUGCAAACGUUGCUCGGAAUCAUUGGGCGUAAAGCGCACGUAGGCGGUUCGUUAUGUCGGAUGUGAAAACCUCGGGCUUAACCCGAGAAGUGGAUCCGAAACUGGCGGGCUUGAGUAAGGAAGAGGGUCUCGGAAUUCCCGGUGUAGAGGUGAAAUUCGUAGAUAUCGGGAGGAACACCAUUGGCGAAGGCGGAGACCUGGGCCGAUACUUACGCUGAGGUGCGAAAGCGUGUGGAGCAAACAGG
rnacentral:rRNA from 1 species